AUGUGUUUCUUUUACUUUUCUGCUAAAUCCCCCACCAGAAACUUUGUGUUUUGCCCAUGCUUUAAAAUGUACCAAGGAUUUGUUUUAAUCAUGUACAGUAAGAUAUGCAGACAUGAAAAUGACAAUCGUGAAAAAAAGUUUUCCUUCUUACAGAUCCCAAGAAACAGGGGCACCCCAUACCACACAGGCCACUUGGGGAGACACCAGGGUGGGUCUGUCUGGAAGCAAAAGGAACAAAAAGAAGGUACAAGCAUGGCCUUUGUUGUGGUUUCUGUGGAAAAACAAAGCAAGCAGUAAAGAUGGAACCUGAAUUAAUAUCUCAAUAAAUAAUCCUGCCCUCGAUGGACCAGCCAAUGAGCAUUCAGCACUAUUUACCCAUCUUUUAGCUGGUGUGGGGGACAAGGAGACCUGAGUGUGAAGAUAAUUGUAAAGAUUUCAAAGGUCUUUCUUUCUUACUGAAAUGACAAAGCCUGAGAGGUUCCUCCCUUCAGACUCAGGAUAACGAGACAGCAUUUGCACACUUAAAAAGAUUUUUCUCUGUCCUGAAUGCUAUUUUGUUCCACAAAAGAGCUCUGCUCUCCUGCAGGGGAGGCCGAUGAAAUUCUAUUGCAGCCAAACAGGUAACCUGAUAAUAUGAGAGGUCCACAGAGAAGGAGGAGCCAGAGACACACAGAGAGGCAGAGAGGUGCUGGCAGAAGAAUGAACAGAGAAGUCAUAGACAAUACAGUGAUGUACAGAGACGCAGAAAAGACACUCCAAGGACAUAGAGACCAAGACGAAACCAUAAAAAGCACGGCCAAAGUGAGAAUGCACCAGUGAUCAGCUAUACAUUAAAGAUGCUGCCUAUCAUUCACCAAACUCAACUCAUUUCAAAUUAAAGUAACAGCUAUACUAUUUAGGCCCCUUGGGGGGAAAAGAAACAAUUUAAUUGAGUGGGCUAUCAUAUUGUAAACCUGCUUCAAGGUGUCUGGUCACUCAAAGUAGUAUAUUUACUCUCCGUUGCUCACGCUCCGUCCCCAGACACUCCUCUGCAUGCAUUUGGUCUCUCUUUCUGGGGUUGGUUUAAAAGCUAUCAUGGCCUCCUUUUUCUGGCCAUUCUGGCAAAUGCCUCUUAGUUUGCAGGUGUGUUUCAAUCAAUGGGCCUAUAGCUCUAAGUAUGCAAUUGUCAGCUUCUUGAAAGAUCUUUGUAAGUCACAUUGGAAUAAAUUAUAUCAUAUGAGAUUGGAUUGGGGUGUGUGCUUUAUAAAUGAGUAUGAUUGCCAAUACUUGGGUUAAAAGGAAAAAAAAAAGAAGGUUUUUGUUUAGCUUGUUGAUUUGCUUUGUUUACUGGAAAUAAUGUCCCUCAAGGUAUCUGCAGUCUGGUGGAUUUGUUGUUGUUGUUUUUGCUUCUCUCCCCGUAGCCCAAAUGAGACAGCUUUGAACUUCCUGAAACACUUUUAGAAGAACAAGCCUUCUAUCUCCUAUAAGAAGGAAAAGACAGUAGAAUUUGUUUCCAGAUUUUAUCUAAAAUAAGAAGGCCCUCAGGGAACUCUGGCAUAAUUAGAAUGAUAGGCCCCAAGAAUCAAGAAUUCUCUCUCUUUUAGCCAUCAACUUGGGUAAGGAACUUAAACUUGGUGAGCCAACCUUACAGGGAUAAUUGCAACGACAAAAUAACAGGAUGUACCCAUUCAUUAAUGCAGUAACAUUAAUACUGGGGACAGGGCUGUGAAUGAGACAGAGGGGAUCCCUGCUUCCUUGAAGCCUGUACUCUAGAGAAGGCAGAAAGGAAAAAAUAUGUAUGUAUUAGUACAGUAGGGCUGCCAUAACAAAGUGCCACAAACUGGGUGGUUUAAACAACAGAAAAGUAUUGUCUCACCAUUCUGGAGCUGAAAGUUCAAGACCAAAGUGUCAGCAGGGCUGAUUCCUUCUGAGGGCUGUGAGGAGAAUGAAUCUGUCCUAGGCCUCACUCCUUGGCUUGUAGAUGACCAUCUUCACCAUCCUUCUGUGUAGAUCUAUGUCGAAACGUUCUCUUCUGAAUAAGGAUGUCAGUCACAUUGGGUGAGGGCCUACCCUAAUGACCUCAUGUUCACUUGAUUACCUCUGUAAAGACCUUGUCUCUAAAUAAAGUCACAUUCUGAGGUACUGAAUGUUAGGACUUCAACAUACAAAUUUUGGGGGCAGGGACAAUUUGACCCAUAAUAUGAACAAUAUAACAUAACAGGAAGGAACUUAGGAAAAUACUAUGAAAUAUAAUUGUGUUGGGGAAGAGGCAGUGCCAUCACAGUGAGGGCAGGUAACAUCAAGGCUGGUAACAUCAAGGCUGAGGCCUGAAGGAGGAGAAAGAACUAGGUGAGGGAGAGCUUUCCAGGCAGAAGCACAUGAGGGCAGUCGGAAAUUGCUCAGCUAGUUUUGAAAUUGUCCCCCAAAAAACUUUAUAAAAUUGAUUAAAAAGGCUUUUACAUUGUUUGUGGGAGUGUAAAUUAGUUCAAUCAUUGUGGAAGGUAGUGUGGUGAUUCCUCAAGGAUCUAGAACUAGAAAUAUCAUUUGACCUAGCAAUCCCAUUACUGGGUAUAUACCCAAAGGAUUAUAAAUCAUUCUACUAUAAAGACACAUGCACAAAAAUGUUUAUUGUGGCACUGUUCACAACAAAGACUUGGAACCAACCAAAAUGCCCAACAAUGACAGACUGGAUAAAGAAAAUGUGGCACAUGUACACCAUGGAAUACUAUGCAGCCAUAAAAAGGGAUGAGUUCAUGUCCUUUGCAGGGACAUGCAUGAAGCUGGAAAUCAUGAGUCUUAGCAAACUAACACAAGAACAAAAAAACAAAUACUGCAUAUUCUAACUCAUAAGUGGGAAUCGAACAAUGAGAACACAUGGACACAGGGAGGGGGACAUCACACACCAGGGCCUGUUUGGGGGUGGGGAUUAGGGGAGGGAUAGCAUUAGGAGAAAUAUCUAAUGUAGAUGAGGGGUUGAUGGGUGCAGCAAACCACCACAGCACAUGUGUAUCUAUAUAACAAACCUGCACAUUCUGCACAAGUACCCUAGAACUUAAAGUAUAAUAAUAAUAAAAUAUAAAAUUAAUUAAAGGAAAAAAGUAAAAUUCAACUAGGCUAGCAACAUAAUCAGCAGAAAUUACUAAGCCAGUUUGCUCAUGACUCCAGGAUAAGGUAGCCCUCAUCACAGAGCUCUUUGUUCUAUGGUAAAAUCUAAGUGUUUCUCCUUUAGAUUCUACAAACUAAUAACACUAUCCAUCCCCAGCUCUGAAGGGCCGGCUCCUGGAAGACACAGUUUCCACAUCCUGAUAAUUUCACUCCCUUACCAGACCAAUCAAUGACCCUGUAUUUUCCAGCCCCUCACCCUCCACAAUCCUCCUAAAAACUUGCCUAGAACCCCUCUGCAAACAGAUAUGAGGCUGAGAAUUCCUCCCAUUUCCUUGUUCAGAGGCCUUACAAUGAUUAAACUCUUUCUCUACUGCAAACCUUGCUGUCUGAGUAUUGGCACGUUGCUGCACAGUGGGCUUGUGAACUUGCCAGUUUUGUAACAGUUUGAUGUAAAAAAAGAAAGAGCCCAGAUGAAAAGAGACAAUGAUGUGGAUAAAUCUUAAAUGAAAAAAAAAAUCCAAGCCCAAGGACUACAUCUUGUAUGAUUGUAUUUAUAUGACAUCCCAGCAAAAGCAAAAAUCAGGCAGCAGAAAGCAGAUCUAGGGUUGCCUGGGGCCAGGGAUAGAGAGCAAAGGAGCAAAUGGCGACUUUGAGGUUGAGGGAAGUGCUUUCUGCCUUGGUGGUUAUACAGUUAUGUAUUAGUCGGGGUUCUUCAGGAGGACAGAACCAAUAGGAUAUAUAUACGCACACACAUAUAUAUAUAGGAUAUAUACAUAAAAUAUGUGUAAAAAGUGUAUAAUUAUAUAUAAAAGAU
rnacentral:lncRNA from 1 species